rnacentral:rRNA from 1 species
UGGGAUUGGCCCGCGUCCUAUUAGCUAGUUGGUGAGAUAACAGCUCACCAAGGCCGAUGGGUAGGAGGCACGGGGAGUGUGUUCUCCAGCAGAGGCACUGAAACACCGGGCCUCACUCCUACGGGAGGCAGCAGUCGAGAAUCUUUCGCAAUGGACGCAAGUCUGACGAAGCAACGCCGCGUGCCUGAUGACGCUCUGCGGAGUGUAAAGGGCUUUUCUGGGAGACGAAGCCACGCAGAUUUAUUUUGCGUGGUUGACGGUAUCUCAGGAAUAAGGGGUCUCUAAGUUCGUGCCAGCAGAGGCGGUAACACGAGCACCCCUAGCGUUAUCUGGAAUUAUUGGGCGUAAAGGGUCCGUAGGCGACCUGGGAGGUUCUUCGUUAAAUCCCACUGCUUAACGGUGGAAUUGCGAGGAAAACCAUCAGGAUAGAGGGCGCCAGAGGUGAAUGGAACGCUCGGUGUAGGGGUGAAAUCCGUUGAUAUCGAGCGGAACACCAAAAGCGAAGGCAUUUCACUAGGGCGACCCUGACGCUGAGGGACGAAAGCCAAGGUAGCGAACGAGAUUAGAUACCUCGGUAGUCUUGGCCGUAAACAUUGGACACUAGCUAUUGGAAGUGUCGACCCUUUCAGUGGC